UGGGGAAUAUUGGACAAUGGGCACAAGCCUGAUCCAGCAAUGCCGCGUGAGUGAGGAAGGCCUUAGGGUUGUAAAGCUCUUUCACCCACGACGAUGAUGACGGUAGUGGGAGAAGAAGCCCCGGCUAACUUCGUGCCAGCAGCCGCGGUAAUACGAAGGGGGCGAGCGUUGUUCGGAUUUACUGGGCGUAAAGGGCGCGCAGGCGGCGGACCAAGUCAGGCGUGAAAGCCCCGGGCGUUAACCUGGGAGGUGCGUCUGGGACUGGUUUGCUAGAGUUCGGGAGAGGAGAGUGGAAUUCCCAGUGUAGAGGUGAAAUUCGUAGAUAUUGGGAAGAACACCGGUGGCGAAGGCGGCUCUCUGGACCGAGACUGACGCUGAGGCGCGAAAGCGUGGGGAGCAAACAGGAUUAGAUACCC
rnacentral:rRNA from 1 species